UGGCUCUGGCAUNGAUGAAGAACGCAGCGAAAUGCGAUAAGUAAUGUGAAUUGCAGAAUUCAGUGAAUCAUCGAAUCUUUGAACGCACAUUGCGCCCCUUGGUAUUCCGAGGGGCAUGCCUGUUCGAGCGUCAUUACAACCCCUCAAGCCUGGCUUGGUGUUGGGACCCGCGGUCUCGCGGCCCUUAAAAUCAGUGGCGGUGCCCUCUGGCUCUCAGCGUAGUAAUUGCUCUCGCUACAGGGUCCGGUUGGCGGCUGCCAGAACCCCCCAUUUUUUAGUUUGACCUCGGAUCAGGUAGGGAUACCCGCUGA
rnacentral:misc_RNA from 1 species